AUUGAACGCUGGCGGCAUGCCUUACACAUGCAAGUCGAACGGCAGCACGGGUGCAUGCACCUGGUGGCGGGUGGCGAACGGGUGAGUAAUACAUCGGAACGUACCCUAUCGUGGGGGAUAACGCAGCGAAAGCUGUGCUAAUACCGCAUACGCCCUGAGGGGGAAAGCGGGGGAUCGCAAGACCUCGCGCGAUUAGAGCGGCCGAUGCCUGAUUAGCUUGUUGGUGGGGUAAAAGCCCACCAAGGCGACGAUCAGUAGCUGGUCUGAGAGGACGAUCAGCCACACGGGGACUGAGACACGGCCCAGACUCCUACGGGAGGCAGCAGUGGGGAAUUUUGGACAAUGGGGGCAAUCCUGAUCCAGCAAUGCCGCGUGAGUGAAGAAGGCCUUCGGGUCGUAAAGCUCUUUUGUCAGGGAAGAAACACCGGCUCUAACACAGUCCGGGAAUGACGGUACCUGAAGAAUAAGCACCGGCUAACUACGUGCCAGCCGCCGCCGUAA
rnacentral:rRNA from 1 species